UAUAGUAGCUAAGUUUGCUAACUAAUUUUGGUGAGUCUUGUUAUUGCUAUCAAAGUUUUGCUAGAUUUUUUGUGCAUGAUAUAGGAAAAACAUAAAGGGAAUAUGAGAUGAUAUUGAAAAAGACCUUGCAAAGCAUCUGUAUACUGACUCUCAAUCCAAACACUACGACCUCAGUUAUUAUCCAGGAAAUGAUGAAGGAAAGCCCACAUUACACUGAUGGGGUUCACUCCUCUCUUAGAGCGUGGUGAUUCUUCAUAUAUUUUUGAACCUGAUCAGUCUGAUCUUUCCCAAGAUGAGGAAGAAAACUUGUGCAAAACCCUAUUGCCACCAUACAUCUUUCCAAAGCUUGAAGAUGUCGUUUAUACAGACCCUCCUGCAAAUUCAUAUAAUUUUGGGUUCCCAAUGGAAGAUCAUGCCUUUUGGUCCUGGUCUGACUAGGAUUUCUUUGGUAUAUAUAAUUCAUGCGCUAUAGUGUUCUUAUUUGAUAGUAUGUCAUAUAAGUGAGAAUAAGUAAUGAAGCUAGCCAAGCAGCAUCAAUGGCACCCUGAUCUAGAUGUGGUGGUGGGUUUAGGUUUCAGUUGAAAGAGAAAAAUUACCGUGCUUGCCCCAUUUGUAAUCUUAUCAAGGAAUUGCGGUUCUGUAGUGUUUCAUCGCUUCAUGUACCAUUAUUGUAUGAAAUGUAAUUAAAUAAAAGUUCUCUUAUGUAAGUUAAGCUUGAUAGAAAUGCCAUUUCAUUUCAGCUCCACACCUCCA